GACAGAGGGUGCAAACGUUGUUCGGAAUUACUGGGCGUAAAGCGCGUGUAGGCGGCCCUGCAAGUCGGGUGUGAAAUCCCACGGCUCAACCGUGGAAGUGCACUCGAAACUGCAGGGCUAGAGUCCUGGAGAGGAAGGUGGAAUGCUUGGUGUAGAGGUGAAAUUCGUAGAUAUCAAGCAGAACACCGGUGGCGAAGGCGGCCUUCUGGACAGUGACUGACGCUGAGACGCGAAAGCGUGGGGAGCAAACAGG
rnacentral:rRNA from 1 species